AUUCAUAUUUAGGUAAACCUUGUCUUGCCUUCAAGUGUUUUUGAAAUGUCUCUUAGAAUGCAUUUCUUCUUUAAAUAGUAGAUUUAAGUCUUUCUUACAUGGAAUACAGACAUGAAGGCUAAAGGCAUGAUGAAGAAAGUAGUGAUGGGCCUUAUGUGAGAGAGAAGAUGCAGCCAGAAGAUGCCCAGUUGGAUACAAGUGUCUCCAUUCAAGCUGUGGUGGUCUUCACUGGUUCGGCUGGCACUGCAUAGGCGUGUGGUCUGCUGUUUGGAUUUAAAAUGCUUUGCUGGCCAGCUGACAGCAGAGGGUGAGAGAGAGAUAAGAAUGAUGCAGAGAAAGAGAGUGAUAUACAAAAAAGAAAUUGUUGCUCUAGUGGAACAUUUAAUCCACAGAAGCUCAGAUUUCGGCUUCCCCAGUGCACAGCACAGUGUUCCAGUCAGCCACAGUCUGCUCACAAACCACUUCCUCCAUCUGAGGAAAGUGCAGAAGAAGAAGAAGGGAGAAGGCGAGUAGGAUUGUGAGGAUCUGGAAAAGAAGUGUUUCCCUGUUUCUGCCACUUGCAUCUUUACUUUGCUUCCUUGAGAUGCUAGAAAGACGGAAAGGGAGAAAGAAAGAGAGAGAGAGGUGAUGCUGCAAGAUGAGAAAUCCUUGUUUCCAUAAUUUCAGUUGUAAGCAACAUCAGCUAGUGUAUGAUAGAUGCACAGUUGUUUCAACUCUCAGACUGUUGUGUGUUGGUAACUAAUUUCAUCAGAAGUUAUAUAUUGCACCAUUCUGCUGUCUUAAAGACUCUUAUAGAGAAGUAAUACUUAAAAUCAUCUCUUAAUAUUACUUUAAAAACUUCUAAUUCAUGUAUAGAUUAGUACUUUUGUUAUGGCUUUUGUUACUUACAUUAAACUAACAACAAGACUUUACACAGCUGUCAAAGAAUAUGUCCAUGCCAACUGUACAAUUAAAAAAACAAAACCAAAAAA